rnacentral:rRNA from 1 species
AUUGAACGCUGGCGGCAGGCCUAACACAUGCAAGUCGAGCGGAUGAAGGGAGCUUGCUCCUGGAUUCAGCGGCGGACGGGUGAGUAAUGCCUAGGAAUCUGCCUGGUAGUGGGGGAUAACGUCCGGAAACGGGCGCUAAUACCGCCUACGUCCUGAGGGUGAAAGUGGGGGAUCUUCGGACCUCACGCUAUCAGAUGAGCCUAGGUCGGAUUAGCUAGUUGGUGGGGUAAAGGCCUACCAAGGCGACGAUCCGUAACUGGUCUGAGAGGAUGAUCAGUCACACUGGAACUGAGACACGGUCCAGACUCCUACGGGAGGCAGCAGUGGGGAAUGUUGGACAAUGGGCGAAAGCCUGAUCCAGCCAUGCCGCGUGUGUGAAGAAGGUCUUCGGAUUGGAAAGCACUUUAAGUUGGGAGGAAGGGCAGUAAGUUAAUACCUUGCUGUUUUGACGUUACCAACAGAAUAAGCACCGGCUAACUUCGUG